rnacentral:rRNA from 1 species
GAUGAACGCUAGCGGGAGGCUUAACACAUGCAAGUCGAGCGGGAUUAGCAGCAAUGCUAUGAGAGCGGCGGACGGGUGCGUAACGCGUAUGCAACCUGCCUUAUACAGGGGAAUAGCCCAUGGAAACGUGGAUUAAAGUCCCAUAGAAUCAUGAUAUCGCAUGGUAUUAUGAUUAAAACUGAGGUGGUAUAAGAUGGGCAUGCGUCUGAUUAGGUAGUUGGUGAGGUAACGGCUCACCAAGCCGACGAUCAGUAGGGGUUCUGAGAGGACUUACCCCCCACACUGGUACUGAGACACGGACCAGACUCCUACGGGUGGCAG